GUGUUAAAACAUAACCAAACACUCCAGGACCUUGGGAAAGAAAUCUGUAUCAGACAUGUGGGCUUCAUUAAGGGAAAUGCCUUCAGAAGAUUAUUUUUCCAUGUUAUGAGAAAAAAUCUCAACAACCACAGCAGAUGUUCCAGUGCCCAGGUGACCUAGAAGCUUCAUGUGGAGGUGAUGGAACUUCAGUAGGCCUGGAAGUGAAGCAGUAUCUUCUGCCCUCAAUCUUGAGAUGAAUGUUUUCUCAGUAUCCUAUGCUGAAAACAGGUAGAUACUAAUAUCGAUCUUCAAGGGAGGGCUGUUGAGUUUUGAAUAAGACAAAAACAUGGAAGCAAUCAGCACCAUGCUGGAGAGCCUUUAUAUAACCAAAGAUAUUUUUGGACCAUGAAUUCGGAAAUUCUCGGAGCCACCCAUCAGUGCCUGAGCUUCAGUGAGUCCAUAUCCCAUGUCACCCACGGCAAAGGAGAAUCUAAGACUUCUGAAGAGUUUCUUGCUUCUUUCCUGUGGGGCAGUGACUCCACUUCCCAGCAGUAAUGGAAUAUCCUGAAUUAGCUACAUUAAUGUUAGAACCAUUUGGACCUCACCCAGGACUUCAACUACAUUAUGAGUAACUCCUGGACGAUUGGCACAGAAGGCACAAGGCAAAUACCUAUCUCUGUACACCCUGUGCUACUGUGUCAUGUGCUGCUCCAGGCAACUCCAAUGGAUUGGCCACCCUGGCCAAUGUGUUCUAGUAUGUUAGGUUUAUGUUCCCCUGCUUUCUACAAUCCUGUUCAAAGAGUUGCUGACUUAACCACAGAGAGGAUUCCAGAACAUGAGACACAGAAUAAACUUGAGCAAUCAUAGUCCAUCCACUUCAUUUUCUCAUCAAAAACCAAAGGUCCAGUGAAGCUCUGGAACUCAACGCUGUAAAGGAGCGAAGGAGCUUCUAUACAGA
rnacentral:antisense_RNA from 1 species